AUCAACGCAUGACUAAUGAGGAUAUCCUGCUAGAAUUGCAGAGGAGCUAUUUAUCUGGCACAAAUGCACAUUCUCUACUUGUGACUAGUCUACUGCAAUUAUGUUGUGUGGUGAGGAAGCCCUGAAGACCUAUUCCAAAUAAAUGAAGAGAGAAAAGUACUUUGAUUCAAAUGUCUGAGAAAAUUCAAGGCACACCAUCUUUCAAGCUAGUGUAAGAUGUUAGACAUGGAAAACAAGUCAUAGUACAGUCUUUCAUUUGGGAACGAAGACUCAGCUCAAAAACUGGAUUACUUAUACCAAAGACAAACUGCUCAAUGGCUCUGAGAAGGGCCAGCUUGCUCUUCUCAGUCUGGAGUACAGGCUGUGAAGUGCCUGGUCUUGGGUCUGGGGAGUUGGUGUGUGGGAGCACUAGUCAGGCGUUCAGUGCCUCAUUCUUUGCCUGAGAGUUAGAGCCACAUCAUUCAUCCUUGUCCAUGCAUAAAGGAAAGUAGUUUCUUCAUUCAGCUGAUGUUGAACCACUGCUCCCUGAAGAAGAGUCACCAUGUGCAUCUCCUACACAGGAAGACAGCUGCCAUGAGGUGUGAGCAGUGAGAAAACUCUAAACAACACUGAGAAUAUCCCUUCCCACAGACUGCUUUAUUUACUCUCCUUAACAACUCCACCUUAGAGGUGCUAUCUCUCUUUAUGACUGGAAGAACCAAGACUCAAAACCUCCUUUAAGACCUCAUACUAAUAAAGCUUCUGGUUCA